ensembl:lncRNA
GUGAGGAGGGGUAGGGAUGGAAGAGGAUUGAGGAGAGUUAGGGACGAGCACUACAGGACACCUUAGUAUACAAAGUGCAGGGGCAAUACUUUCUACGACAAAAUAAAAAGUUACAGACUGCAGCUUUAACAUGCACUUUUCCAGUGUUUUACUGUUCAAAUAAGAUAUUUUUUACAGAACAUUUUCAGGAAAAAAAGAGACAAGACACAUUGUAAUGGAUAAUUUGUCUCCAGCACGUGGGGGCAGCAGUCCCAAGAGAAGACCCUGCUUCUGCGAGGCGCUGCCCAUUAGCCACUAUUUAUUUACAAUUCACAAAGUAAUACAGGAAGAAGUUUCUCUUUCAAUACAGAUCAAUCCUCUUCUCUAGCUUUUCCUCAUUUUCAUCACAUCAGAUUCACCCAUCCCCCGUUCUUUCAGUCUUUGGUUUCCACUCCCAAACAUGGCAUACAGCAGGAAACACUCCUACAUUCAGUUAUCUUUUCUCUCAGCAACUCCUUUAAAGGGGAAGUUCAGUAUUUUAGGAGCUAGCGGUUGGCUAACGUUUGUAGCGGUUGUUUAAAAAGCCCUGAAGCAUUGAUACGUUUCUUCUGGCCCCAUAGACUACUUUCAGGAUGAGAAACCAUCUGACAAAGUUGGAAAAUAGUGAACUUCCCCUUUAAGUUAACUGUUAACAUAUUCAAAACGUUGUUCGCUACUUGUGUAUUCAGUAUGUUGUAGUAUGUUGUUUCUACCUAUAGGUUCUAUAGGGUGCCGUUCUGGGUGGCAGUUUCUACCUAUAGGUUCUAUAGGGUGCCGUUCUGGGUGGCAGUUUCUACCUAUAGGUUCUAUAGGGUGCCGUUCUGGGUGGCAGUUUCUACCUAUAGGUUCUAUAGGGUGCCGUUCUGGGUGGCAGUUUCUACCUAUAGGUUGUAUAGGGUGCCGUUCUGGGUGGCAGUUUCUACCUAUAGGUUCUAUAGGGUGCCGUUCUGGGUGGCAGUUGGUUAGUCCCCUAACUUCCCCCCCAAAAUGCCAAGUCUUUCCAACAGGUCAUUGUUGGGGAUUCAGGAUGCUCUGCUUUCCCCCCUACUGAUUACAGGAACAUUCCUGGAUAAACUGAGAAGUUCCCAGAAUUUUUCAACCAUAAUAAUGAAGGAACCUAUAUAUUAAAUCUUCACUUAUCAGGUCGGUUCCAGAACACUUGGCUGAAACUCUACUCCUUUACAGAUAGAAUGGAGUUGAUCUAGGAUAAGAGUAGUCCUACUCACACAUGUUCUUCUCUGUGAUCAUAUGGCUUCAGAAAUGAAGGGUCCAGCAGGACUUUGUAUUUGUGCGUUUGACUCAUGGCGGCUGAUUCGAAGGCCGUGUGUACGUAGUAAAUGUUGCUAAAAGUUACCAUAGUAUAAGUAACCACAUGUGUAUAAGUUACUAUUUAAAUGAUUAGUUACCAUAGGAUAAGUAACUACAUGUAUGUAAGUUACUAUUUAAAUGAUUAGUCACCACACAUAACUGUAAAUGACUAUAAGUGCUAGAAAGUGGUGCGUGGUUAGAAGGUUCCGUCCCAAAUGGCACCGUAUUCCCUAUAUAGUGCGCUACUUUUGACCAGAUCCAUAUGAGCCGUGAUCAAAAGUAUUACACUAUAUAGGGUCCAAGAUGUCAUUUGGGACACUACACGCACUCUCAAGGGAAAGGUCUUCUGCUCCCUGUGGGUCCUGGCCAAAAGUAGUGCACUAUAAAGGGGAAUAGGGUGCCAUCUGAAACAAAGCCCAUAAAUCUCAACAGUCUGGUAGACUAGAGGUGUAGCACACCUUCCGACCUUCCUCAGAGGUGCUGUCCCAAAUGGCACAUUAUUCUCUAUAUGGUGUCCUAGCGCUUUGCACUCAGUGAUCUAGCGCUUUGCACUCAGUGAUCUAGCGCUCUGCACUCAGUGAUCUAGCGCUCUGCACUCAGUGAUCUAGCGCUCUGCACUCAGUGAUCUAGCGCUUUGCACUCAGUGAUCUAGCGCUUUGCACUCAGUGAUCUAGC